rnacentral:misc_RNA from 1 species
GAUUUGCGUUAGGGAUAGCAGUGAAAAGCCCGCAAUGGCUUUUUAGCCUGAGGACUUCUAACGGAUAGCCCGACCUGAC